rnacentral:rRNA from 1 species
AGUGAACGCUGGCGGUAGGCCUAACACAUGCAAGUCGAACGGCAGCACAGGAGAGCUUGCUCUCUGGGUGGCGAGUGGCGGACGGGUGGGGAAUACAUCGGAAUCUACUUUUUCGUGGGGGAUAACGUAGGGAAACUUACGCUAAUACCGCAUACGACCUACGGGUGAAAGCAGGGGAUCUUCGGACCUUGCGCGACUGAAUGAGCCGAUGUCGGAUUAGCUAGUUGGCGGGGUAAAGGCCCACCAAGGCGACGAUCCGUAGCUGGUCUGAGAGGAUGAUCAGCCACACUGGAACUGAGACACGGUCCAGACUCCUACGGGAGGCAGCAGUGGGGAAUAUUGGACAAUGGGCGCAAGCCUGAUCCAGCCAUACCGCGUGGGUGAAGAAGGCCUUCGGGUUGUAAAGCCCUUUUGUUGGGAAAGAAAUCCAGCUGGUUAAUACCCGGUUGGGAUGACGGUACCCAAAGAAUAAGCACCGGCUAACUUCGUGCCAGCAGCCGCAGUAA